rnacentral:rRNA from 1 species
GACGAACGCUGGCGGCGUGCCUAAUACAUGCAAGUAGAACGCACAGUUUAUACCGUAGCUUGCUACACCAUAGACUGUGAGUUGCGAACGGGUGAGUAACGCGUAGGUAACCUGCCUGGUAGCGGGGGAUAACUAUUGGAAACGAUAGCUAAUACCGCAUAAUAUUAAUUAUUGCAUGAUAAUUAAUUGAAAGGUGCAAUUGCACCACUACCAGAUGGACCUGCGUUGUAUUAGCUAGUAGGUGAGGUAACGGCUCACCUAGGCGACGAUACAUAGCCGACCUGAGAGGGUGAUCGGCCACACUGGGACUGAGACACGGCCCAGACUCCCACGGGAGGCAGCAGCAGGGAAUCUUCGGCAAUGGACGAAAGUCUGACCGAGCAACGCCGCGUGAGUGAAGAAGGUUUUCGGAUCGUAAAGCUCUGUUGUAAGAGAAGAACGGGUGUGAGAGUGGAAAGUUCACACUGUGACGGUAUCUUACCAGAAAGGGACGGCUAACUACGUG